UGUCUAUUUUGUAGUUGUCAAAUGUAGAGAAGUGCUUUGGGAACACACAUAUAUUUUGGACUUACAAAUGUUGUGAAUCGCUAAAGAACGUCCGUAUUCCUAUUUUAGUUAUAAUAAAUAACAAAACUAUUACUUUUCUUCUUAGUUCUUCGAUUUUUACGUUAAACAUUUUACUAUCGACAAAUUUUAACAAACAAAAUUUAUUUUCCAUCGGAGAAAAUCCACAGUAAGAUGUCAUUAAUUCAGUUGGAAAAGCUUAAAAAUCCUUAAAGCCAAAGGAUUUCGACGCUUAGGAAGCCAGGCGAACCGUUCAUAUAUUAUUCAGCUGGCGUUCAGGAGCGUAAAUGAAAAAGUUUUUGUAUCCAAUGACUAUUGGAACACCACCAAAAUACUGGUGAAGCCCGAAACUUUACGAAUCGAAGCGAAAUUACGAGUUGGACAAGUUGUUACGGCUUAUAAGGUAUUCGAUACGAGUCUGUCGCAAGGUACGGAGAUUAAGGAAAAUACGGCGUCUUGAUCAGUAUUUAGGUGUUUGGCUUGUUUGAUUCCGAAAUCGAACGCUUAUCCCCAAUAAAAUAUGCAUUAGCUACUAUUCAGAAUGGAAAAAAAGGAACGUUGGAAAUUUUACUACCUAUUGGAAAUUUUGGAGCUUGAUCUCAGGGAACGUUUGGAAUAAUUGUAUCUAUGGAGACUUCGGUUUUUUUCUGGUUUAUGUACACUCCUUCAACGAGACGAGCACAAAACUAUAUUCAUCAAACCGAAUGAAAUCUAAUCGAGUAUUGGAUACUCGGCUCAGUGAGUAAAAAGGAAUCAGUCGGAGGCGGUCGAUUGAAAAGUUUUUCAAACUUGGACUGCUAUAAUACGGACUGAACAAGUGAAAACGGAAAUUGCGAGACCACUGAUCUGUUUCAUAAGAAUCAUUGGACGUAUCUGUGAAGACGGGGUCAACCAGUCCGCAGUGCAAUGGAGCAGCCUCGCCCUGGGGGAACCGCCUGCAUGACCACGGUAUCCCUCUACGCCAGCCAGACGAAAAACCAGAUAUAACGCUAAUCCCUCUGGCCUGUAGCAGGCUGUAGUCGACACCUAAAAUGAAAACAAAAAAGGGUGCUUCGUUCCUAGUCCCGACUUAAAAUGCACUGCACGGAAAAUGGUGAAAAUUGACACAAUAUUUCUUUAUACUUUUCACUCAAGAAAUAAAAGACGUUACAUAAAAAUCAAACAA